rnacentral:rRNA from 1 species
GUUGGGUAGGGGAGCGUUCUGUAAGCCUGUGAAGGUGUGUCGUGAGGCAUGCUGGAGGUAUCAGAAGUGCGAAUGCUGACAUAAGUAACGAUAAAGCGGGUGAAAAGCCCGCUCGCCGGAAGACCAAGGGUUCCUGUCCAACGUUAAUCGGGGCAGGGUGAGUCGACCCCUAAGGCGAGGCCGAAAGGCGUAGUCGAUGGGAAACGGGUUAAUAUUCCCGUACUUGGUGUUACUGCGAAGGGGGGACGGAGAAGGCUAUGUUGGCCGGGCGACGGUUGUCCCGGUUUAAGCGUGUAGGUGUGUGUUCCAGGUAAAUCCGGUUCACUUUAACACUGAGGCGUGACGACGAGGCACUACGGUGCUGAAGCAACAAAUGCCCUGCUUCCAGGAAAAGCCUCUAAGCAUCAGGUAACACGAAAUCGUACCCCAAACCGACACAGGUGGUCAGGUAGAGAAUACCAAGGCGCUUGAGAGAACUCGGGUGAAGGAACUAGGCAAAAUGGUGCCGUAACUUCGGGAGAAGGCACGCUGACACGUAGGUGAAGUGAUUUACUCAUGGAGCUGAAGUCAGUCGAAGAUACCAGCUGGCUGCAACUGUUUAUUAAAAACACAGCACUGUGCAAACACGAAAGUGGACGUAUACGGUGUGACGCCUGCCCGGUGCCGGAAGGUUAAUUGAUGGGGUCAGCGCAAGCGAAGCUCCUGAUCGAAGCCCCGGUAAACGGCGGCCGUAACUAUAACGGUCCUAAGGUAGCGAAAUUCCUUGUCGGGUAAGUUCCGACCUGCACGAAUGGCGUAAUGAUGGCCAGGCUGUCUCCACCCGAGACUCAGUGAAAUUGAACUCGCUGUGAAGAUGCAGUGUACCCGCGGCAAGACGGAAAGACCCCGUGAACCUUUACUAUAGCUUGACACUGAACAUUGAGCCUUGAUGUGUAGGAUAGGUGGGAGGCUUUGAAGUGUGGACGCCAGUCUGCAUGGAGCCGACCUUGAAAUACCACCCUUUAAUGUUUGAUGUUCUAACGUGGACCCGUAAUCCGGGUUGCGGACAGUGUCUGGUGGGUAGUUUGACUGGGGCGGUCUCCUCCUAAAGAGUAACGGAGGAGCACGAAGGUUGGCUAAUCCUGGUCGGACAUCAGGAGGUUAGUGCAAUGGCAUAAGCCAGCUUGACUGCGAGCGUGACGGCGCGAGCAGGUGCGAAAGCAGGUCAUAGUGAUCCGGUGGUUCUGAAUGGAAGGGCCAUCGCUCAACGGAUAAAAGGUACUCCGGGGAUAACAGGCUGAUACCGCCCAAGAGUUCAUAUCGACGGCGGUGUUUGGCACCUCGAUGUCGGCUCAUCACAUCCUGGGGCUGAAGUAGGUCCCAAGGGUAUGGCUGUUCGCCAUUUAAAGUGGUACGCGAGCUGGGUUUAGAACGUCGUGAGACAGUUCGGUCCCUAUCUGCCGUGGGCGCUGGAGAACUGAGGGGGGCUGCUCCUAGUACGAGAGGACCGGAGUGGACGCAUCACUGGUGUUCGGGUUGUCAUGCCAAUGGCACUGCCCGGUAGCU